rnacentral:rRNA from 1 species
CCAAUAGCGUAUAUUAAAGUUGUUGCAGUUAAAAAGCUCGUAGUUGAAUUUCGGGAUCAGUGCGCUGGUCGUGCCUCUGGUAUGUACUGGUGUUUCUGAUUCCUCCUUCUGACGAACCGUCAUGUCAUUAAUUUGGUGUGUCGGGAAAUCAGGACUGUUACUUUGAAAAAAUUAGAGUGUUUAAAGCAGGCUCGCGCUUGAAUACAUUAGCAUGGAAUAAUGAAAUAGGACGUUCGAUCCUAUUUUGUUGGUUUCUAGGAUUGACGUAAUGAUUAAUAGGGAUAGUUGGGGGCAUUAGUAUUCAAUUGUCAGAGGUGAAAUUCUUGGAUUUAUUGAAGACUAACUACUGCGAAAGCAUUUGCCAAGGAUGUUUUCAUUAAUCAAGAACGAAAGUUAGGGGAUCGAAGACGAUCAGAUACCGUCGUAGUCUUAACCAUAAACUAUGCCGACUAGGGAUCGGAUGAUGUUAAUUUUUUAAUGACUCAUUCGGCGCCUUACG